GAGACACCCAUAUGGAGCAGAACUUGCUUCAGUGGGGCUUUGGUGCUCACUGAGUCUACCCCUUGAGUGUGUUGCU
rfam:Myotis davidii contig118619, whole genome shotgun sequence.